GCUGUGGUGGUUUUAUGGUAGAAUCUUUGCCUCGCAUGCAGGAAACCCAGGUUCAAUUCCUGGGCAGUGCA
rnacentral:tRNA from 1 species